CGGCUGCAUGAAGCUGGAAUCGCUAGUAAUCGCGGAUCAGAAUGCCGCGGUGAAUACGUUCCCGGGUCUUGUACACACCGCCCGUCACACCAUGGGAGUCGGGAAUGCCCGAAGUCAGUGACCCAACCGAAAGGGGGGAGCUGCCGAAGGCAGGCCUGGUAACUGGGGUGAAGUCGUAACAAGGUAAC
rnacentral:rRNA from 1 species